CCGGAUCCCAUCAGAACUCCGCAGUUA
rnacentral:snRNA from 1 species